rnacentral:rRNA from 1 species
AUUGAACGCUGGCGGCAGGCCUAACACAUGCAAGUCGAACGGUAGCACAGAAGAGCUUGCUCUUUGGGUGGCGAGUGGCGGACGGUUGAGUAAUGUUUGGGAAACUGCCCGACGGAGGGUGAUAACUACUGGAAACGGUAGCUAAUACCGCAUAACGUCGCAAGACCAAAGUGGGGUACCUUCGGUCCUCACACCAUAGGAUGUGCCCAGAUGGGAUUAGCUAGUAGGUGGGGUAAUGGCUCACCUAGGUGACGAUGCCUAGCUGGUCUGAGAGGAUGAACAGACACACUGGAACUGAGACACGGUCGAGACUCCUAAGGGAGGCAGCAGUGGGGAAUAUUGCACAAUGGGCGCAAGCCUGAUGCAGCCAUGCCGCGUGUAUGAAGAAGGCCUUCGGGUUGUAAAGUACUUUCAGCGGGGAGGAAGGCGGUGAGGUUAAUAACCUUGCCGAUUGACGUUACCCGCAGAAGAAGCACCGGCUAACUCCGUGCCAGCCGCCGCGGUAA